rnacentral:rRNA from 1 species
UGGCGGACGGGUGAGUAACGCGUGGAAAACCUGCCGUAUACUGGGGGAUAACACUUAGAAAUAGGUGCUAAUACCGCAUAAGCGCACAGCUUCGCAUGAAGCGGUGUGAAAAACUCUGGUGGUAUACGAUGGUUCCGCGUCUGAUUAGCUAGUUGGUGGGGUAAUGGCCUACCAAGGCAACGAUCAGUAGCCGGCCUGAGAGGGUGAACCGGCCACAUUGGGACUGAGACACGGCCCAAACUCCUACGGGAGGCAGCAG